CCUACGGGAGGCAGCAGUGAGGAAUAUUGGUCAAUGGGGGAAACCCUGAAGCAGCAACGCCGCGUGGAGGAUGAAGGUUUUCGGAUUGUAAACUCCUUUUGUUAGAGAAGAUAAUGACGGUAUCUAACGAAUAAGCACUGGCUAACUCCGUGCCAGCAGCCGUGGUAAUACGGAGGGUGCGAGCGUUACUCGGAAUCACUGGGCGUAAAGGGCGCGUAGGCGGGAUAGCAAGUCAGAUGUGAAAUCCUAUGGCUUAACCAUAGAACUGCAUUUGAAACUGGUAUUCUAGAGUAUGGGAGAGGUAGGUGGAAUUCUUGGUGUAGGGGUAAAAUCCGUAGAGAUCAAGAGGAAUACUCAUUGCGAAGGCGACCUGCUAGAACAUAACUGACGCUGAUGCGCGAAAGCGUGGGGAACAAACAGGAUUAGAUACCCGGGUAGUC
rnacentral:rRNA from 1 species